rnacentral:rRNA from 1 species
CAAGUCGCACGAGAAAGGUUUCGCAAGAGACCGAGUAAAGUGGCGGACGGGUGAGUAAUGCAUAGACAACUUGCCCCUGAGAUGGGAAUAACGCCUUCGAAAGGAGUGCUAAUACCCAAUGCCGUCCCGGCACGAUGGUGCUGGGAUGAAAGGAGGCCUCUGACUCAAGCUUCCGCUCAGGGAGAGGUUUAUGUCCUAUUAGCUAGUUGGUGAGGUAAUGGCUCACCAAGGCUGCGAUGGGUAGCCGACCUGAGAGGGUGACCGGCCACACUGGGACUGAGACACUGCCCAGACUCCUACGGGAGGCUGCAGUCGAGGAUCUUCCGCAAUGCGCGCAAGCGUGACGGAGCGACGCCGCGUGGGUGAUGAAGGCCUUCGGGUCGUAAAACCCUGUUAGCUACAGUGAACCACGGGUGGUGAACAGCCAUCCCGUCUGACGUAAGUAGCAAAGAAAGCACCGGCUAACUACGUGCCAGCAGCCGCGGUAAUACGUAGGGUGCGAACGUUGUUCGGAAUCACUGGGCAUAAAGAGCGCGUAGGCGGUCUGAUAAGUCCUGUGUGAAAGACCCCGGCUUAACCGAGGAAUUGCACAGGAUACUGUUGGGCUAGAGUGCAGGAGGGGAGAGCGGAAUUCCUGGUGGAGCGGUGAAAUGCGUAGAUAUCAGGAGGAACGCCAGCGGCGAAAGCGGCUCUCUGGUCUGUUACUGACGCUGAGGCGCGAAAGCUAGGGGAGCAAACGGGAUUAGAUACCCCGGUAGUCCUAGCCCUAAACGAUGGGUACUAAGUAGAGGAAACUCCGAUGUUUUCUCUGCCGGAGCUAAUGUAUUAAGUACCCCGCCUGGGGAGUAUGGUCGCAAGGCUAAAACUCAAAGGAAUUGACGGGGGCUCACACAAGC